rnacentral:rRNA from 1 species
AACGAACGCUGGCGGCAUGCCUAACACAUGCAAGUCGAACGAGACCUUCGGGUCUAGUGGCGCACGGUGCGUAACGCGUGGGAAUCUGCCCUUGGGUUCGGAAUAACUUCGGGAAACUGAAGCUAAUACCGGAUGAUGACGUAAGUCCAAAGAUUUAUCGCCCAAGGAUGAGCCCGCGUAGGAUUAGCUAGUUGGUGAGGUAAAGGCUCACCAAGGCGACGAUCCUUAGCUGGUCUGAGAGGAUGAUCAGCCACACUGGGACUGAGACACGGCCCAGACUCCUACGGGAGGCAGCAGUGGGGAAGUAUUUGGACAAUGGGCGAAAGCCUGAUCCAGCAAUGCCGCGUGAGUGAUGAAGGCCUUAGGGUUGUAAAGCUCUUUUUACCCGGGAUGAUAAUGACAGUACCGGGAGAAUAACG